rnacentral:rRNA from 1 species
CCUACGGGUGGCAGCAGUAGGGAAUAGUGCUCAAUGGGGGAAACCCUGAAGCAGCAACGCCGCGUGGAGGAUGAAGGUUUUAGGAUUGUAAACUCCUGUUGGUAGAGAAGAGGAGGACGGUAGCUAACGAAUAAGCACCGGCUAACUCCGUGCCAGCAGCCGCGGUAAUACGGAGGGGGCAAGCGUUACUCGGAAUCACUGGGCGUAAAGAGUUCGUAGGCGGGGUAAUAAGUCAGAUGUGAAAUCCUGUAGCUUAACUACAGAACUGCAUUUGAAACUGUUACUCUGGAGUGUGGGAGAGGUAGGUGCAAUUCUUGGUGUAGGGGUAAAAUCCGUAGAGAUCAAGAGGAAUACUCAUUGCGAAGGCGACCUGCUGGACCAUUCCUUCCGCUGAUGCCC